rnacentral:rRNA from 1 species
CCACCUCUUCCCAUUCCGAACAGAGAAGUUAAGCCUCGUCACGCCGAUGGUACUGCGUAACAGUGGAAGAGUAGGUAGCCGCCGUCU